rnacentral:misc_RNA from 1 species
CCUCACCCAGUCUCCGCUGCUCUUAGCCCCCUCUCUCUCACAGGCACUCUCCCUCGCUCUCGCUUGGGCACACACGCACGCGCACACGCCGCCCCUGCUCCUCUCCACACAAGCCUUGCACACGCAAUACACCGCACUCAUCAUGCCGCCGAAGGCUCGUGCCCCUCUGCCGCCUGGCGACGUGGAGCGCGGCGAGAAGCUGUUCAAGGGCCGUGCUGCCCAGUGCCACACCGCCACCAAGGGCGGCGCGAACGGUGUGGGCCCGAACCUGUUCGGCAUCGUCCACCGCCCCUCCGGCAAGGUCGAGGGCUUCACGUACAGCAAGGCGAACGCCGAGUCAGGCGUAGUCUGGACGCCGGAAGUGCUGGACGUGUACCUGGAGAACCCGAAGAAGUUUAUGCCUGGCACGAAGAUGUCGUUUGCCGGCAUCAAGAAGCCGCAGGAGCGCGCUGACGUGAUCGCGUACCUCGAGACUCUCAAGUAAGACGAGGGCGCCGUCGCGCACGGUGUCGUUGGGUAACCCGCCUUCCGCUGGGUUUGUGUCUUAACGCCUACAGACACGGGCACAGGCACGCCUGCAUCACUCCCGCCGGUCCGUGAACGAGGCACUAACUAAAAUCGAAGAGGCGGUGCCUGCUUAACGAAGAGCGCUGCUCUGGUGACGGGCAGCGGGGGAAGAGAAAGGCACGAGAAGCGGAGAGUGAGGAAUGGGGCACAAGUGGAGGUUGAAGACGUCGGUUCGCGGCGAAUGCGCUGCCGAAAGGCCGUGAACGGGGGUGGGGGGGGGGGGCUCGGUGGCACAAAGGAGGAGGGGCGGAAGCAGCGAUGGUUGGGUCGGUAGGCGUGAGGUUUGACCGGGUUUACGGCGCGUGUGCUGUCAUUGCUGCAACAGGACUGUCGGCACCUCUCCGCGACCAUGUCCGCAUUCGCUUCUCUCUGUGCCUCGCCUUGCACACCCUCCUCCUUUCCUAUAAGCUGGCCCGUGUUCUGACCUCCCGUCGGCUCUUCCCCUAUCCGUGCCCGCCCUCCGCCCUCCCCCCACACCCACGUAGUACGGCUGUACUGCUUAGACUCAGUACUUUACCGUCGCCGAACCCAAAAAGGCGGAGAAGUCGUAAAGCGCCAAUACGAACGGGCCUUGCGCACACGCAACGCAUGACACCCACACAGAUUUCGAACUAGAAAAAUAUAGCAAAGAGAAAUAAGAAACACUGGCACACACACACACACACACGCACCUACGCAAGCACGCACUACGAUCGCGCGUCCAAGGUCCAUCACUUCCUCCCCUCCCCCUCCUCCUCUGCUCUCCACACACACCGAAAAGUCACCACAGCACGCGCAGACGCCCCUCGUUCAUGUGCCCCCUUUCCUUUUCCCUUUCGCGUUGCCCAUGGCGCCCCCUCCCCCCCCCUCCUUUUUUUUCGUCCAUUUCGGCUCAGCCUUUUCCCAGCCGCCGCCGAUCUCCAGACCCUGUCUCGGAUGGGCCGGCUCGUCUUCCUCGCGUGAUGGUGUGCCUCUCUCUCCCCUCCGCCCCUUCCCCCCACCAUGUGCGUGGCGUUCCCUUUCGCAGAGACGCGCGCACGCCGCAUGAUGGGGGGGGGAGGGGGGGAUGGAGAGCGGCGUGGUGGGGGCCGCUCGCUUUGCUUGCGCGUGCGCGUGUGCACCUCGCGUGUUACCCCCGCCUCUGCUGGCGUCUCUGCCUUUCGCUUUUCCUUUUUCCUUUCCUUUCGGGUGUGUAUGUUGUGGUGGUACGCGUGCCAUGACCCCUCCUCCGCCUCCUCCUCCUCCUCCUCCUCUCGCGCACCCUUCGAUAUCUGCCUAUCUCCGUUCCUCGUAUUCGCUGUUCUUUGUUUUCUUUCCUCUUAUGUAGUAACUAACCGACCAUGUCCCCUCCUCCAUCCCUCUCCCCCAUCUCGCCCCUCUCUCUCCCGGCCUUCCUCUGUUUGCCAGACAUCACCAGCCGAAGUAGGAUGCAUCUCAUCCUCUGUCGAUUCAGCCCUCCCCACCCCGACCUCACCUCUCCACCUAGAUCCCCAUGUGUGUGAGUGUGUGUGUCUCUGGGUGUCUCUCUAUCUCUCCUGCGAACACGCCCCACUCCCACCGAACCGCUUCCUGAAGCCGAGCAGCGGAGGCGGAGAGAGGCGGACGUGACGCACAUCGGUGCGUGGCGGGCACCCGUUCACGCAAACAGGCGCGUUGGUCAGCGAGUAGGAUGAAGCAACGAGUACAAGCUGACAAAACUGUAAUGCGAGAGGCUGCAGUGUGUGUGUGAUGCCGGCUUGAAGGCGGAGAAGGGGCGUGUGGGCACCGAGGAACGGCCAGGGUUCCUUCUUAUAGCUGUUACAGAUUUGUUUUAACUGUCCUUUUCGGGCACAAGAC